UGCCUUCAAUCUAUGGUGCACCUCUCCCUCAACUCCUCUUACCCUCCAGCCUAGAUACCUGAGGUUUACGUUCAAACUCCUUCUUCAAAGAGCUGAAUUUCCCGCAAACUACCCCCAAAGUGUUCUGAAACCAUGUCGCAUAGAUCUCUUAAUAUUUUGUAAGGGCAUGUGAUGUGAGUCAAUAUAUGAUGACAGAAGAAGUGAAUGCAAUGAAGGAGUCACUGAGAGAAUGACAAAAAGGUGUGCAAAAGCUCUGGAACUCAUCUUUAGAGGACAUUACAAACUCAAGAAGUCACACAAUCAAUUUUGCAGUCAUUGUUAAAGUCUUCCCAGAAUCCAGGUCACAGAGGAAUUUACCCAGGUUUUCUUCUACUGCUUGUAAUGGUUUCAUUUUUUACAAUUUAGACGUCUGAUCCACUUGGAUUUCUUCCUUGGGUAUGAUGUGAAGACUGAACUAAUUCUAUUUUUCUCUAAAUGGCUAUCUGAUUUUCCCAAAAGCAUCUAUUACAAAGCCCAUCUUAGCCCCACUGAUCUGACACAUCACCUCUAUUAUAUACUAAAUCCCCAUAUGUAGUUGAUUUUUUGGACCUUCUACUCUACUGAUCUGUCUGUCCAGGUGCUACUACCAUAAUGUUUUAAUUGUAGAAACUGUGUCUUAUAUUUUUUUAAAUUGAUGAAACAAAUAAAAUGACUGAAC
rnacentral:lncRNA from 10 species